GAACCUCGGAGGCGGCCGCGGGCGAGGGGCGGGGCCGAAGGGGCCGGGACCGCCGCCCCAGCUCGAGGACCCGUUAGACCGGCAAACCGCAGUCCCUGCCCCGCGGGCUUCCUUUACUUUUUGGGAGUGGGGGGCGGUUUCCCUGCUUUUUCCACCACAGCCCCUCCUCCCGCCGCAAUGUGGCUGAUGCUCAUAAAAAGUUGUAUUAAAGAGCUGACUGCAGCCGAGAAUCGAUCAACAAAAGCGACCAGCCUCUCUGGGUCUAUCCACGGCCUUCUCAACAGAUGACUUCAAGUUGAUUUCGUGCUUUAUUUCUUAAGAAUAGUGACUAACCUAAGGGAUCUGAUUCAAUUUAUUAGGAACACAGUGCCACCUUCCAAAAUUACUUACCUAAGAGGACUGAGCCUGCUGUCCCUGGAGCAGUUAGCUAAAACAGUGCCUCAGUACGGAGCGUACCUGUGUUAACUUCUAGAGUGCUGUUUCCGGCAGCUGCUGAAAUCCACGCUGAGGUUAUCAAGCUCAUCCUACAAAAUAAAGCAAGUUCUUCGCAAUUUAAAGCAAAAAUCUGGGCUUAUUUUUAGGGUUUUGGGGGAUGUGAAAGUUGUCUUAGAUAAGAUUCCAGGAAAGCUAAGAACUAACGAUGCAAUUACAGUCACCUUUCAACAACUUUGGGGAUUGGGUUGAGGAAGGUGUGAAAUUGGGAAAUAUAAUAAAAGGUAUUAUAUUAGUGACUUUCUAGAGUAGCCCUUGGCAGUCCUGUCUUUAAAGAGUAAUAACUGGAAAAAAAAAUGAAUGAUAAUACACUGCAUCCAAGAACCUUGCCUCUGGUGAGGGUAAUUUGCAAACGCAUUUUGGGAUAAUGUUCAGCAUUCAAUAUAAUCUUCCCUGGAAUUAGCAAUGCCUUUUGGGUCAGAGUUUCUUAGGUUUCUUCAGUCAUACAAUUAAAAUUGUUUCUGGAUUAUAUUGCCCAUAUUUGUUUCUAAUUCUCCAUUUUGCCUGUGUUUUAACUGCUAGCGAUUAAUAACUGCCAUAUAAUAAGCUAAGCAUUUAUUAUGUUUCAGGCACUGUUCUAACUGCAUUAAAAUAAUAUCUCAUUUAAUUCUCAUAAAUUUUGAGAAAAGUUUUAUUAUUCCUAUUUUACAGUUGAGUAAACUGAGGCUUAAAGUUAAGCAUAUUGUCCAAGGUGCCUCCACUCCUUAGUCAUAAGCUAAAUUUGAUCUGAGUGACUCCAAAACCUGUUCUCUUAAUGGUUAUGCUGAAAUGCCCUUCUUAGAAUGAUUCCUCAGGAAGUCAAAUGCUAGGUAUAUAGUACAACCACUUUGGAAAACUGGCAAUAUCUGUUAAAGUUAAACAUAUGAAAACCCUAUGGCCCAGCAGUUCCACGCUUAGGAAUAUACCAAUGUCCCAUGUGUGCCAAAAGACUAUUAAAUCACUCAGAGCAACCCUAUUCAUAAAUAACCCCCAACCAGGAAACAACCCAAAUGGUCAUAAACAGUAAAAUAGAUAAAUAAUUGGUGGUAUAUUCAUACAACAGAGUACAUUCUACCACACUAAGAAUGAACAAUCUGCUUCCAAAUGCAGUAAAAUAUAUGAACCUUACAAAUGUGCUAAGUGAAAAAAGGGAGAUGUACAAUUGCGGGACUCCAUUUAUGUGAAGUACAGAAACAGACAAAAGUCAUUGAUGCUAUUCAAAGUCAGGAUAGUGGUUACCCUUGAGAGAGAGCUGAUGACUAGGAGAGAACACCAAUCGGCUUCUGGGGAGCUGGUAGUGUUGUUUCUUGAGCUGGGUACUGGUGUGUUCAGUUUGUGAAAAUUCAUUGAGCUGUACUAUUGAUAUAUGCAUCUCUGUGUAUGUAAAUUAUGCUUCAAUAAAAAGCUUUAAAAUGCUGUGUAUAUAUAAA
rnacentral:lncRNA from 1 species